GUUUACCAAGAAAAAAUACUGAACAGAAGCUCAAGUAAUCAUUCCAAGGCUACACUGGCUUCAAGGGGUCAACAAUGUUACAGCUUUCAAGCUCAGAAAUUGCUGGCACAUAUAUACUUUCAUAACCAGGGUAGGUAAGUUCCAACAUAAAAUGAUCACAUGGUAAUUUUUCAGAGAAAUGGAAAUGUAAAGGAGAAGGCCUGCCAGUUCCUACGAAUGAGAAAUGAUCUUCCACCAUCACUAAGCACACUUACGGUUAACAUCGCGAACAUCAGCUGACACACGUUGAAGGUCCAUGAACAUCCGGAGAGCAGCUGUGAUCAUGGCAUCAACGUCGAGAGAAAAGUCAUCAAAAUGAAUGUCAUCGAUGGCAAGUUCUGACACCAGAGGGAUGUUGGCUGCCUAGAAAAGCAAAAGACAUAAGUCAAGCCAAGUUCACCAGCUUUCCCAAACCCCCAUCCUGCUCUCCUCCCCUGCUUAUCAGAAGUGCCACAUAAAUCAGGCCUGACCUGCACUUACACCCUGAUACAGCUAAACUCUGAGCUGUAAAUGUCUUUUGUUUCUGAACUGCAAAUGCCCCAAGCAAAUGAAGGUGGGGGCAGGGUUGGGGGCGGGGGGAGGGAAACUAAUCUGAAGAUAAAAUACACGCACUGGAUCUAGCCUGCAGAAUUUAUAAUACAGAACUGUCAAGUUUAUGGAAACUGUGGUCAUACAAUAUAUUCUGAUGCAUAUUACAGAGCACUAAAUGCAAGAAACAUCUGGGCAGCCAGCAGCUGUGAAUUUUAAUUGAUGCUAUUCAGGAGAAGGAGAAGGGAAUACACCACUUUGCCUUGUUUCUUAUAUCCUUAUAUCCUGUAGCUUGCACGUGUUCUUUGUUACACACGUGUUCUGUAUAUUCAGAAUGAUCGAAAGGAUCAGACAGCA
rnacentral:lncRNA from 1 species